rnacentral:lncRNA from 1 species
CGAAAGUCAGACACUUUCGGCGGCCGAACAUUGCCUUCGGCGGCCGAAAGUCUGCUUUCAAGCCAAAACUCAACGUUCGGGGGUAAGGUUAGGCGGCCAAACCAUGCAUCCAUAGGCAUGUUCGGCGGCCGAAACCACCUUCGGCGGCCGAACCUGAGUUCAUCCAGAACUCAGCCUUCGUGCAUACCAGCCUCCCAAACCUCACAAAACAACCCCAAACUUCACAUACUCUCUCCCAAGCAUGCAUACACACUCCCACAAGCAAAGAGAGCAAAGAAACUAGCUUAAACUCCUCAACACAACAUCACAUAACAUACAUUGGGCAUAAAACCCACAAAAGCCUAAACAUGCAUAUCUACCCAUACUCAAACAAUAAAACCUUCAUAAAACUUCAUAAAAACACUAGGGAAGCAAAGAUCUACACUUACCUCUUGAAGAUUGAGGGUGGCGUGAUCUCUAACUCGGCGGUGUGGAGAAUCCAAGCUCCAAAAGCUCCAAGCUCCCAAAACUUCGAUCUAAGCUUAAAACUCUUCAAAAUAACCAUAAAAAUUCAUGAGAACAUGAAGGAGAUGAAGAAAAACAUGAAAACGGCCAAGGAAGGACAAAAACUCACCUGAGCUCGGGAAUGGGGAGAAAACUCUCCCAUUUCCGAUCUGAGGGCUCUUUAUAGGUGGCCUGGUCAAAGACCUUCGGCGGCCUAACGUGCCCCCUAACCUCAUGCAUGUUCGGCGGCCGAACUUCACUUUCGGCGGCCGAACCUUGGCUCGUUCAAACAAGACUUUCGGAGGCCAAAAGCGCUCCCGAAACCUUUCCAUGUUCGGCGGCCGAACUUCACUUUCGGCGGCCGAACCUGGCAAACGCCUCCUUGGUCUUUUCUCUUCA